CUCACUGGAUCCUUCACUGCUAAAGGACUCGCAUCGCAAGCGGGGGAGGCACGCCACGCGAGGCGGGGACUGAGAGCCAGCCCCCCUUCCCCCCGGGCUUAGGACCCCCAUCGCGGUUCCUAAGAUCCUUAGGACCCACCUGGAGGACUGUGGGUAUGGGGUGUCCAAGAAGAAAGCUCAGAUCUGCCCACGGCAGGUACCUUACUUGGGAUUUACAAUCGACAGGGGUCCGAACGCAGCCCGGGAAAAGAAAGAAAGCAGGACCCCCAUCGCAGGAGUCGGAGGCACCCCCCGCGAGGCGGGGACUGAGAGAGAGCUCCUCUUCCCCCCCAGGAUCUUAGGACCCCCAUCGCGGGGGGGGAGGCACUCCCGCCAGGAUCCCCAUCGCAAGGGGGGAAGACACCGCCCACGAGUCGGGGACUGAGAGCCAGCCCCUCUUCCCCCGCUGGCUUAGGACCCCCACCGCGGAUUCUAAGAUCCUUAGCACCCACCUGGAGGACUGGGGGUUUUAGGUGUCCAAGAAGAAAGCUCAGACCUGCCGACCGCAGGUACCUUACCUGGGAUUUACUAUCCGACAGGGGUCCGAACGCAGCUCGGGAUCAGAAAAAAAGCAGGGGUCCGAACGCAGCCCGGGAUCAGGAAGAAAGCAGGUCGUUUGCAAUCUACCGGAGCCUAAGGGCAGAAGGCAGGAUCGUGGGAACAAUAUCCCAGGGGGGUUUCCACUUUCUGCCAUAUAUGUAGUCACAUCGCCCACUCCGCCUUGGAAUAUUAUUAAGGACCAUCUAACACGAGGGUGUAUACGUCCUGCGAUAUUACGAGUAAUAUCAACUUCUUGGCCUCUGAAUAUGAGGAAGAAUAUCACAGGGGGUCCGAAUGCAGCCCGGGAUCACAAAGAAAGCAGGUCGUUUGCAAUCUACCAGAGCCUAAGGGCAGAAGGCAGGAUCGUGGGAACAAUAUCCCAUGGGGGUGUACCCUUUCUGCCAUAUAUGUAGUCACAUCACCCACUCCGCCUUGGAAUAUUAUUAAGGACCAUCUAACACGAGGGUGUAUACGUCCUGUGAUAUUGGGAGUAAUAUCAACUUCUCGGCCUCUGAAUAUGAGGAAGAAUAUCACAGGGAUAUUAAUAACAAUUUCACAGGCUGGGUGAACACAGCCGGCGAUGCUGAAAUUAUUAUCAUCCUCUCCCCCUCUUCCCCUCCUGGCUCUCAGUCCCCGCCUCACGGGUUAUGUAGCGGGUUAUGGCAAGAAGACAAACUGCAGUUUCCUGCACAGAACAGCACAAACAAUGAUCCAAGCUCAGUUACAACACAAUAUUGGUCAUCAUUUGACCAUGGACUUCAAUAUCAACCCUUAGAAACCUUCCUAAAACAGGUCAGCAAAACACCAAGAAGCAAUAUCCUGAAUGAUAGGAAAAUAUCCUUGCUUGUGCAAAUUGUUUCCACUUAAUUUUUUUCAACAAAUGUUAAUUAUAUUUUUACUUUCUAAAAAUUUUUAAUAAAAUAUAGCCUACUUGGUUAAAA
rnacentral:lncRNA from 1 species